CUCGUGCCUUUCGCCUUCACCGGUGACUUUGGUGAUAUGUUCUAACUAAGGCACGCGGUGAAUGCCAAAGGCAUGGUG
rnacentral:pre_miRNA from 1 species